rnacentral:rRNA from 1 species
GGCGGACGGGUGAGUAACGCGUGGAUAAUCUGCCCCUCAGUUGGGAAUAACUCAUCGAAAGGUGGGAUAAUACCGAAUAAUGCUGCAUGACCUAGGUCGUGUAGCCAAAGAUGGCCUCUGCUUGCAUGCUGUCGCUGAAGGAUGAGUCCGCGUACCAUUAGCUAGUUGGUAGGGUAAUGGCCUACCAAGGCUACGAUGGUUAGCUGGUCUGAGAGGAUGAUCAGCCACACUGGAACUGAGAUACGGUCCAGACUCCUACGGGAGGCAGCAGUGAGGAAUCUUGCGCAAUGGGGGCAACCCUGACGCAGCAACGCCGCGUGAGUGAAGAAGGCCUUCGGGUCGUAAAGCUCUGUCGGGUGGGAAGAAACGUAUGUAGAUUAAUACCCUGCAUAUUUGACGGUACCGCCAAAGGAAGCACCGGCUAACUCCGUGCCAGCAGCCGCGGUAAUACGGGGGGUGCAAGCGUUGUUCGGAAUUAUUGGGCGUAAAGAGCGUGUA